UAAUGGUUUCCCCAAACUUUAAGCCCUUUUAAAGUGCUUAGUGUAAACACUUAUUAGACCUCCGGUCUGAAUCAAUACUAUUUCAGUUAACAAAAGUAUGGCGAAGAUAUCGCAGAGUUGGCUUCAGGGAAUAAUAUUUCUUUCUUCUUUUCAUCUUUUGGUAUGCGGAAACUUUUGCAAAAGACAAAUGAAAUACCAGUUCGACACCUGUUCUGGUGGUUCCGGAUGUACAGCUUCAAAAGAUUAUACAGAGGUAUACUGCUGCCCUGGAUGGAAGGGAUAUACAUGCGAUGUUC